rnacentral:rRNA from 1 species
GCGCGGAUCUUCCAGAGAUUAGAGUUUGAUCCUGGCUCAGAACUAACGCUGGCGGCGUGCCUAACACAUGCAAGUCGAACGAGAAAGUUGGCUUCGGCCAAUGAGUAAAGUGGCGCACGGGUGAGUAACACGUGGAUAACCUUCCCUUCAGUCAGGAAUAACCUACCGAAAGGUAAGCUAAUACCUGAUCCUACGGAUCCACUGCGGUGGAUUCGUCAAAGAUGGCCUCUGCUUGCAAGCUAUCGCUGUUGGAUGGGUCCGCGUACCAUUAGCUAGUUGGCAGGGUAAUGGCCUACCAAGGCUCUGAUGGUUAGCUGGUCUGAGAGGAUGACCAGCCACACUGGAACUGAGACACGGUCCAGACUCCUACGGGAGGCAGCAGUGAGGAAUAUUGCGCAAUGGGGGAAACCCUGACGCAGCGACGCCGCGUGAGUGAGAAAGGCCUUCGGGUCGUAAAGCUCUGUCAGAUGGGAAGAAAUGGCUGGAUGCCAAUACCAUUUAGCCUUGACGGUACCAUCAGAGGAAGCACCGGCCAACUCCGUGCCAGCAGCCGCGGUAGUACGGAGGGUGCAAGCGUUGUUCGGAAUUAUUGGGCGUAAA